AUGCCAUCAGGUGAUGAGUCUGUUCCAAGGGGUGUGUGUUUGGAGAAUCUCAAGCAUCUGUUUGCAAACCCAGUCUGGCCUGGUCUCUCUUCAGGCCUCCUGGCGAAGUGGCAGAGAGAUGAGCUGUCUGAUUUGCUGGGAGGAAGCCGGGAGCAGCUCCCUGAAGAGCGACCCAGACAAAACUUGGACAAGGAGGGAGCCGCUGGAGGGCGCUUCUCGUGGCAUCUCCUGGGCAGAACCUGUGAUUAUACCUUUUUGAUUCUAACCACUGGGCCCAGAAGGAGAGAAAAUAGAAGAAUGUGUGGAACUGGUGAAAAGCAACAAGCACUGACAUCUUGAAAGGGUGUGACACCUGCGACUCUGCCUGAAUUGCAGCUACCAGUCCCUGGGGAACAGAGAACACUGUGCCCGACCUGUGAUGAGGUGAGGGGCAGCACAGACUGAGAAGUCAGAGAAAGCUGUAGUGGAACACGACUUCCGACAAUUCACUGGCAUCACAUCGUUCCUGGGUGGCCUCACUUCCUCCAGGCAGCUUCCCCAGAGGGGUGUCAUUUCAGCUAGAAGAGGAGCUUGGACAUAUGUACAACUUGGACCUUUCUCUCCCACAGCUGCAAACAGCAAAGAGUAUGGAAGAGUACACAAGAACACGUGAACCCGCAUUCACUCAGUGACAUGAGAACCCUGUUAAUAGCCUAGGGUUUAGUCCCCCCUUCUCUCACUUUUCUUUGAAGUGAAAUCAUUCUGUUGUCAACCUUGGUGAGGGUUAGCCUGUUUGACUGAAGCAGUAAUUUGACAAGAUGUGUCUUCACUGUCAUUCAAAUGGUGGAAUACAGCUCUUAGCAUAUCAUAUGCAAGGCUUGUUCUGGCUGCCACCUCCAUCUCCUCCCUGUGAAACUUUGCCUUCCCUUGGAGAUACGCCUCCUUAAAGAUGAAGAAGAAAAAAACCAUAAUCCUGGGGGUCAAGAGGGCAUGUGCUUAAAUCUACAACGAGCCCUCCUAAAAUUCAGAUGAGCUUCAAUGCCAGUGGGGGCUCUUCCGGGACAGGGAGGGGCAAGCAAUCAAGAAAGAGAGCUUAGCACGGAGUCUGCUGGCAGGGGCUCCUGCCUAGCUCCAUAAAUCAACCCCAAUGAGUCAAUUCCUCAUGGAGAAUGAUGAAUGAAAGGCUGCGAAGCCCAGCACAAGGCUGGGCUUGGUGAGGGCCCAAGACUGCUACAUGUCUGUCUGACUUGUCCCAAAGCUUGGGGCCACGGGAGCAGACUCCUGCGAGUACUUCUGAGUGCUACCCUUGUUGCCAGAGACCCUGCACAAGCAUGAUGAAUUCCAGAAAGUUGGGGAAACU
rnacentral:lncRNA from 1 species